AGUGAACGCUGGCGGCGUGCUUAACACAUGCAAGUCGAACGGAUGAAAUAAGCUUGCUUAUUUCGUUAGUGGCGCACGGGUGAGUAAUGUAUAGCUAACCUGCCCUUUAGUGGGGGACAACAGUUGGAGACGACUGCUAAUACCCCAUACUCCUUCUUAUCACAAGGUAAGUUGGGAAAGAUUUAUUGCUAAAGGAUGGGGCUUUAUGGUAUCAGCUAGUUGGUGGGGUAACGGCCUACCAAGGCAAUGACGCCUACCUGGUCUGAGAGGAUGAUCAGGCACACUGGAACUGAGACACGGUCCAGACUCCUACGGGAGGCAGCAGUGGGGAAUAUUGCACAAUGGAGGAAACUCUGAUGCAGCAACGCCGCGUGGAGGAUGACGCAUUUCGGUGUGUAAACUCCUUUUAUAAGGGAAGAUAAUGACGGUACCUUAUGAAUAAGCACCGGCUAACUCCGUGCCAGCCGCCGCCGUAACAC
rnacentral:rRNA from 1 species